rnacentral:rRNA from 2 species
UUAAUUUGAGAGUUUGAUCCUGGCUCAGGACGAACGCUGGCGGCGUGCCUAAUACAUGCAAGUCGAACGAACUCUGGUAUUGAUUGGUGCUUGCAUCAUGAUUUACAUUUGAGUGAGUGGCGAACUGGUGAGUAACACGUGGGAAACCUGCCCAGAAGCGGGGGAUAACACCUGGAAACAGAUGCUAAUACCGCAUAACAACUUGGACCGCAUGGUCCGAGCUUGAAAGAUGGCUUCGGCUAUCACUUUUGGAUGGUCCCGCGGCGUAUUAGCUAGAUGGUGGGGUAACGGCUUACCAUGGCAAUGAUACGUAGCCGACCUGAGAGGGUAAUCGGCCACAUUGGGACUGAGACACGGCCCAAACUCCUACGGGAGGCAGCAGUAGGGAAUCUUCCACAAUGGACGAAAGUCUGAUGGAGCAACGCCGCGUGAGUGAAGAAGGGUUUCGGCUCGUAAAACUCUGUUGUUAAAGAAGAACAUAUCUGAGAGUAACUGUUCAGGUAUUGACGGUAUUUAACCAGAAAGCCACGGCUAACUACGUGCCAGCAGCCGCGGUAAUACGUAGGUGGCAAGCGUUGUCCGGAUUUAUUGGGCGUAAAGCGAGCGCAGGCGGUUUUUUAAGUCUGAUGUGAAAGCCUUCGGCUCAACCGAAGAAGUGCAUCGGAAACUGGGAAACUUGAGUGCAGAAGAGGACAGUGGAACUCCAUGUGUAGCGGUGAAAUGCGUAGAUAUAUGGAAGAACACCAGUGGCGAAGGCGGCUGUCUGGUCUGUAACUGACGCUGAGGCUCGAAAGUAUGGGUAGCAAACAGGAUUAGAUACCCUGGUAGUCCAUACCGUAAACGAUGAAUGCUAAGUGUUGGAGGGUUUCCGCCCUUCAGUGCUGCAGCUAACGCAUUAAGCAUUCCGCCUGGGGAGUACGGCCGCAAGGCUGAAACUCAAAGGAAUUGACGGGGGCCCGCACAAGCGGUGGAGCAUGUGGUUUAAUUCGAAGCUACGCGAAGAACCUUACCAGGUCUUGACAUACUAUGCAAAUCUAAGAGAUUAGACGUUCCCUUCGGGGACAUGGAUACAGGUGGUGCAUGGUUGUCGUCAGCUCGUGUCGUGAGAUGUUGGGUUAAGUCCCGCAACGAGCGCAACCCUUAUUAUCAGUUGCCAGCAUUAAGUUGGGCACUCUGGUGAGACUGCCGGUGACAAACCGGAGGAAGGUGGGGAUGACGUCAAAUCAUCAUGCCCCUUAUGACCUGGGCUACACACGUGCUACAAUGGAUGGUACAACGAGUUGCGAACUCGCGAGAGUAAGCUAAUCUCUUAAAGCCAUUCUCAGUUCGGAUUGUAGGCUGCAACUCGCCUACAUGAAGUCGGAAUCGCUAGUAAUCGCGGAUCAGCAUGCCGCGGUGAAUACGUUCCCGGGCCUUGUACACACCGCCCGUCACACCAUGAGAGUUUGUAACACCCAAAGUCGGUGGGGUAACCUUUUAGGAACCAGCCGCCUAAGGUGGGACAGAUGAUUAGGGUGAAGUCGUAACAAGGUAGCCGUAGGAGAACCUGCGGCUGGAUCACCUCCUUUCUAAGGAA